GGGGGUGUGGCUCAAAUUGUAGAGUGCAUGCCUAGGAAGCAUGAGGCCCUGAGUUCAAACCUCAGCACUGCCA